CUGAUAACUUCAAAAUUUCUAUGUAUCUAGGCAACCCUUUGGAUAUUUCUCCAAGGGCUCCUAUUACUAUUGGUACAACCACUGGUAAUUUUGAAC